rnacentral:rRNA from 1 species
GAUGAACGCUGGCGGCGUGCCUAAUACAUGCAAGUCGAGCGAACAGACGAGGAGCUUGCUCCUCUGACGUUAGCGGCGGACGGGUGAGUAACACGUGGAUAACCUACCUAUAAGACUGGGAUAACUUCGGGAAACCGGAGCUAAUACCGGAUAAUAUAUUGAACCGCAUGGUUCAAUAGUGAAAGACGGUUUUGCUGUCACUUAUAGAUGUAUCCGCGCCGCAUUAGCUAGUUGGUAAGGUAACGGCUUACCAAGGCAACGAUGCGUAGCCGACCUGAGAGGGUGAUCGGCCACACUGGAACUGAGACACGGUCCAGACUCCUACGGGAGGCAGCAGUAGGGAAUCUUCCGCAAUGGGCGAAAGCCUGACGGAGCAACGCCGCGCGAGUGAUGAAGGUCUUCGGAUCGUAAAACUCUGUUAUUAGGGAAGAACAAAUGUGUAAGUAACUAUGCACGUCUUGACGGUACCUAAUCAGAAAGCCACGGCUAACUACGUG